rnacentral:lncRNA from 1 species
AAAAGUGUAAUAAAUUGUGAGCAUGUGUUCCAAGCAUACUAAGUGUAAUAAUUUGUGGAACUGAUUCCUCCUCUACGAGGAGGUUGAAGCCGAAUUUUUUAGCCAUUAUCUAAAAAAUGUAGGGGGCAAAGUGUACAUGCCAAGACUACAACAUGAUGAGCUGUGGUUAGCAACCAAGCUGGGACCGCCAAAUUCAUGCCAAGGAGAGAUAAGAGUGUAGAAAGUGAUCAAGCUUGGGAUGGCAACAAGGGAUUAUUAGUAGGCAACGGCAUAUGACAUUGUUAGCGAGAAUUUAACAAUACCAGUAGAGUCACAUAUGGUGAG